AACGAACGCUGGCGGCAGGCCUAACACAUGCAAGUCGAACGCCCCUUCGGGGGAGUGGCAGACGGGUGAGUAACGCGUGGGAACCUUCCCUGUGGUACGGAAUAACUCAGAGAAAUUUGAGCUAAUACCGUAUACGCCCUUCGGGGGAAAGAGUUUAUCGCCAUAGGAUGGGCCCGCGUCGGAUUAGCUUGUUGGUGAGGUAAUGGCUCACCAAGGCGACGAUCCGUAGCUGGUCUUAGAGGAUGAUCAGCCACACUGGGACUGAGACACGGCCCAGACUCCUACGGGAGGCAGCAGUGGGGAAUAUUGGACAAUGGGCGCAAGCCUGAUCCAGCCAUGCCGCGUGAGUGACGAAGGCCUUAGGGUUGUAAAGCUCUUUUGGCGGGGACGAUAAUGACGGUACCCGCAGAAUAAGCCCCGGCUAACUUCGUG
rnacentral:rRNA from 1 species